UUUCAAACUCUGAGACAAGUAAGGAUCUCUCACCCCUACCUCCUAUCACGGCAUUAAAGCUCAAUAAAUAAUUAAACAGUAUUUUGUGACUAUAUAGAUAUGUAUAAUUGAUUGAGGUUGCCAAUGGAGCCCGAAUCUAAUACAUUGUUGGUCAGUUGUUGUUUGAUCUAUUUUUCAGUAUUAAAUGCAGUAUGAUAUUUGAUGUAUUUAUUUUAUGGUCUCGUAUGCAUGAAU
rnacentral:lncRNA from 1 species